rnacentral:SRP_RNA from 1 species
CCGUGCUAGGCGGGGAGGUAGCGGUGCCCUGCACUCGCAAUCCGCUCUAGCGAGGCUGAAUUCCCUCCCGAGGGGUUUCGGCCCUCGGGGCCAGCGCGUCGUACGAAAGCGUUGAUGGCCGGGUCCCGCGCGAUGCAGGCCCGUGAACCAGGUCAGGUCCGGAAGGAAGCAGCCUUAAGCGGUUCCCUGUAGGCGCCGCGGGGUGGCUCGACCGGAGCUUGAAGACGACGAACGCGCCUGGGGACCGGCUUCGACGGCUGGGUGCACGG